CAAACAUACAUACACACAACCAAACUGUAUAUUUUGGUUUGCUUGAAGAUCUAAACAAGAUCUCUUCUACAAGAUUUUCCCUGAAAAUAUUUUCCUUGAAAAUCUUAUCAAAUCUCUACAAAAGAUUUUUGUCUCGAAAGAUUUUUGUCUCAAAAGAUCUCUACAAAAUCUCAACAUCUCUAUAAAAGACCCAUACCCCCUUCCACAAUUAAAACACUCAAACCAACAACCAUCAGCCAAACACCUUCCUAUACCCUCUCCCUCUCUCAAUUACUACUGCACAUAAAGGAAAAGGGGUGCUUCUUCUUAUCAUAACACAAAACCCUGCACUCCCACAUCUCACCCUCCCUCUCGAUUCCCCUCUGCCACACAAAAGAGCUUUAAACUAAUUAACACCCCGCCCCCUUCCUUCAACCUGUGUAACGGCCCACCACCACCACCACCGUCUGGUGGUGGCAACGCGUGGCGACAUCCGACAGCCCCCCCCCCCCUUCGGCCACACACACCUCAGAUACAAGCAGCGAAAGAGAGUGGCGGAGAAAAGAGACUGAGAUGAUGACCCACACACACCGGCGACAGUGUCGGAUGGCGGCGGUGGGGGUUUUGCAGAUCAGAACAGAUCGAGAGAUAGAGAGAGAGAGGAGUCGACGUGAUGACGUCAGCGAUGGUGGUGCUCGACGGAGCUCCGAGCCGGUGGCGGCAGCCGCACAACUGUUGGCCGACAAGUUGUUCCGAUGAUGAUGAUGAUGAUGAUGAUGGUGGCUGAAUGUUGUUACAGAUAGAUUUACAGCGGCUGUGGUGGCUCGGAUGUCACCGGAUUUGGUUAUGUUGGUUCGGUCACUUCGGACCUUAGUUACAAGUCUCGGUCAAGAUUAGUCAAGUUGGUCAACGGCUUGGGUCAGACCUGGUGCGGUUCGAGUUCAGAUCAGCGGGUUCGAAUAAGGCAGUCUACAAGGUCAGACGUUUUGGCUCGGUCAACUCGGGUCAAACCCGGUUAACUCCAUCAACCCGGUUGACUCGGUCAACUCAGCCGGUCAACUUAGUUAGCGUUUCGACAUGAUGAUUUGGUAAAGAUUAACGGCACGAUUGUUUUAUUAUUUUUAUAUAGUUUUAUUAUAUACGUGAGACACGAGCUCGAACCAAUCGAUAAAAGUAUACUUUACAACUUUACAUAUUUGACGAAAUCUUAUACACUUAUUAUAUUGAUUGAA